UACGGAGGAUGCGAGCGUUAUCCGGAUUUAUCGGGUUUAAAGGGUGCGUAGGCGGACUGUCAAGUCAGCGGUAAAAUUGAGAGGCUCAACCUCUUCCCGCCGUUGAAACUGGUGGUCUUGAGUGGAUGAGAAGUACGCGGAAUGCGUGGUGUAGCGGUGAAAUGCAUAGAUAUCACGCAGAACUCCGAUUGCGAAGGCAGCGUACCGGCAUCCAACUGACGCUGAGGCACGAAAGCGUGGGGAUCAAACAGG
rnacentral:rRNA from 1 species